GUGCUCACUUUGGCAGCACAUACAAUAAAAUUGGAAUAAUAUAGAGAAAAUUAGCAAAACUCAUGGGCAAGGAAAACACAAAUUUUUGAAACCUACAUCAGUCAGUU